GACAGAGGCCCCAAGCGUUAGGCGGAAUCACUGGGCUUAAAGCGUGUGUAGGCGGAUCGUUAAGUGUCUUGUGAAAUCCCACGGCUCACCCGUGGAACUGCUGGGCAUACUGGCGAUCUUGGGCCAACUAGGGGCAGCCGGAACAAGCGGUGGAGCGGUGAAAUGCGUAGAUAUCGCUUGGAACGCCGAAGGUGAAAACAGGUCGCUGGGGAUGUGCCGACGCUGAGACACGAAAGCCAGGGGAGCAAACGGG
rnacentral:rRNA from 1 species